rnacentral:lncRNA from 1 species
CAGGAAACAGAGGAAAGGGAACCUCUGCCACUCCAGUACAGCCUGACAUUCCUGAGAUGCCUCAAGACACAACUAAACAUAUGGAAACAAAGGAAAGGGAACCUCUGCCACUCCAGUGCAGCCUGACAUUCCUGAGAUGCCUCAAGGCACAACUGAACAUAUGGUAUGCACCUGGGUAUGUGGAGCUUGAGGAAGAGCUUCACUCAUCUUUGAUCUUCUAUUCUCUGAUGCUGGGUGGGAUCCUCCUUUCUGGUUUUUCUGUUGUUGUCGACGAAAAUAAUCCAUAACCAAUCUAUAAAUGAAAAUUUGGGUGAGUUUAUUCUGAGCCUAAAUUUUAGGAUUAUAACCCGGGAGAGUCUUUCCACAAAGGAACAGAGCAC